UACAGAGGGUGCAAGCGUUGUCCGGAAUUAUUGGGCGUAAAGGGCUCGUAGGCGGUUUGUCGCGUCGGGAGUGAAAACGCCGGGCUUAACUCGGUGCUUGCUUUCGAUACGGGCAGACUAGAGGCAUGCAGGGGAGAACGGAAUUCCUGGUGUAGCGGUGAAAUGCGCAGAUAUCAGGAGGAACACCGGUGGCGAAGGCGGUUCUCUGGGCAUGUCCUGACGCUGAGGAGCGAAAGUGUGGGGAGCGAACAGG
rnacentral:rRNA from 1 species